AAAGACUGGAUGUGAUCAGUGAACAACACAUCAAGAACAGCAGCAACAGCAGGAAGAACAACAGCAGCCAUGAAGUUUCACGCUCUUGUCUUGAUUUUGCUCUUCGCCUGCAUGUACCUGAGUCUCGCACAAGGCUCGUACGGGAACUGCUGCCUCGGCUACGCCAAAGAAAUUAGAAGGAAGGCAAACAUCAUCAGUUACACCAAGCAGGAAUCAGAUGGUGAUUGCAACAUCAAAGCAAUUUUGUUUACGAUGAAGAGAAGGGCAAAACCUGUGUGCGCCAACCCAAAUGACGAAUGGGUCAAGAAGGAGAUGGGGAGGCUAAAUCCGCAAUAGGCCACCAAAAAGGAACAAAAACAGAAGGAGAGAGAGAACAGCGGUCUCUUCAGGCCUCUGUCAGGCAUCGUAUAUCAUCUUUAACGAGAUGGAUUGUGUUUCAGUAGAUUAGGCAUUUCCUGUUGCUGAUGGUGAAUGUAAAUCAUGUACACGGUUCUCUGAUACAGAAACAAACUGUAUUCUUAAAGUUAUAUCCAGUAUAACGAAAAGUCAUUUAUAUGAACAGUCUAUGAUAGUGUUCCCUUCUCUGUGAUGUGUAGCGCCUGCUAGGAAUGAGCCACUCUUUGGCAGCUUUGAAAUGUGAAUAAAUGUAUUCUGUAUGUGAGAAAAGAACGUGUGCAAAAAAACACUUUAAGACUAAGCUGAGUUUGUUUUGUUUUUAUAUAUACGUAUAUAUCUACGACAGAGUUCCUAAUUUUUGUAUCAGCACUCUAAUUGUACUCUGUGUUUUUCUAUUGCAAAUAAAGUCCAAAUGCAAACAAAAA